rnacentral:rRNA from 1 species
CAAUAGCGUAUAUUUAAGUUGUUGCAGUUAAAAAGCUCGUAGUUGGAUUUCGGGUGGGACGCAGCGGUCUCGCAUUGCGUUUGUACUGCUGCAGCCCUCCUUCUUGCCGGGGGCGGCCUCUCGGACUUCACUGUCUGGGGGUCAGAAUCGGCGAUGUUACUUUGAGUAAAUUAGAGUGUUCAAAGCAAGCUUACGCUCUGAAUAUAAUAGCAUGGGAUAACACGACAGGACUCUGGCCUAUCGUGUUGGUCUAUAGGACCAGAGUAAUGAUUAAGAGGGACAGUCGGGGGCAUUCGUAUUCCGUUGUCAGAGGUGAAAUUCUUGGAUUUACGGAAGACGAACAUCUGCGAAANGANNNGCGAAGGAUGUUUUCAUNGA